UACGGAGGGGCUAGCGUUGUUCGGAAUUACUGGGCGUAAAGCGCACGUAGGCGGAUUGUUAAGUCAGGGGUGAAAUCCUGGAGCUCAACUCCAGAACUGCCUUUGAUACUGGCGAUCUCGAGUCCGGGAGAGGUGAGUGGAACUGCGAGUGUAGAGGUGAAAUUCGUAGAUAUUCGCAAGAACACCAGUGGCGAAGGCGGACUCACUGGCCCGGUACUGACGCUGAGGUGCGAAAGCGUGGGGAGCAAACAGG
rnacentral:rRNA from 1 species